rnacentral:rRNA from 1 species
AGGAUGAACGCUGGCGGCGUGCUUAACACAUGCAAGUCGAACGAUGAAGGCUGGAGCUUGCUCUGGCUGGAUUAGUGGCGAACGGGUGAGUAACACGUGAGUAACCUGCCCCAGACUCUGGGAUAAGCGCUGGAAACGGCGUCUAAUACCGGAUACGAGCUUCCACCGCAUGGUGAGGAGCGUAGGAAAGUAAUUUCGGUCUGGGAUGGACUCGCGGCCUAUCAGCGUUGUUGGUGAGGUAAUGGCUCACCGAAGGCGAACGGACGGGUACGCCGGCCUGAGGAGGGUCGACCGGCACGACGUCGGGACU